rnacentral:rRNA from 1 species
AUUGAACGCUGGCGGCAGGCAUAACACAUGCAAGUCGAACGAGUGGCGGACGGGUGAGUAAUGUCUGGGAAACUGCCUGAUGGAGGGGGAUAACUACUGGAAACGGUAGCUAAUACCGCAUACCAUCAGAUGUGCCCCGAUGGGAUUAGCUUGUGGGUGGGGUAACGGCUAACCAAGGCUACGAUCCCUAGCUGGUCUGAGAGGAUGAUCAGGCACACUGGAAAUGAGACACGGUCCAGACUCCUACGUGAGUCAGCAGUGGGGAAGAUUGCACAAUGGGCGAAAGCCGGAUGCAGCCAUGCCGCGUGUAUGAAGAAGGUCUUCGGGUUGUAAAGGACUUUCAGCGGGGAGGCGUUACCCGCAGAAGAAGCACCGGCUAACUCCGUGCCAGCAGCCGCGGUAAUUC